rnacentral:rRNA from 1 species
AAGUCGUAACAAGGUUUCCGUAGGUGAACCUGCGGAAGGAUCAUUAAUAAAUACGUUGAUACACACCGUGUACACAUCGUCUUCAUUCACUCUGAGUACCUCUCCUGUUGCCUCCGUGUGGCUGGCUGCCUUACAGGUAUAGCUCCUUCCCUAUCUCGGAAUCGCGAUCCGGUAGGGGAGACCGCACGGGAGGGAAGCCCCCAACCUCUCUGUUUAUCAAUCGUUUCUGUCUGAACUGGUUAAAGGAAAUAUUAAAACUUUCAGCAACGGAUCUCUUGGUUCUCGCAUCGAUGAAGAACGCAGCGAAAUGCGAUAAGUAGUGUGAAUUGCAGAAUUCAGUGAAUCAUCGAAUCUUUGAACGCACAUUGCGCCUCGUGGUAUUCCACGGGGCAUGCCUGUUCGAGCGUCAUUAAGCACACACUCAGGCUUAUCUGCUUGGCGUUGGGGGACGAGGACCGUCAAAAGGUUCUCACCUCUGAAAUUGAAUGGCGGAUUACUGCACGAUCCUCGACGUUGUAAGGUAAAAGCCUCUCGUCUGGUCAGCGUGCGGUGUUCAGCCCAGCAACCCCCAAUAAUUAUUUCAGUUUGACCUCGGAUCAGGUAGGGAUACCCGCUGAACUUAA